rnacentral:lncRNA from 1 species
CAGGCUGUAAGCACAUUUAAUUUAUUUUUCAGGAUGACACAGCAGCUAAAACAAUUUAGUCCACAAGAAGAUUCCACAAACAAUGCAUCAACAGUCUCCCAAAAUAUACAUAUUUACUUUUAAUUCCUCAGUUGAGGCCAUGGAAAUAAAAAUGGAGGUGAGUGAGAAAAUUAUUGUGGACCCUGAUAAUCACUGAACUAUUGAUAAUGGGGAUAAAAUAAACAUUUGGGGAACUUUACUGGCUACUCAGUGUUAUACCCAUUCACAUUAGAGGUUUAAUUCUUAAGGAAUGAUUUAUGAAAAAAUAAAGGGAUUCUACUGGAACUUCUUGAGACAUACAAACCCUGAGAGAGGCUUAGUAUUUUAAAAAAAACCUAUAGAAAAAUUUGCACUUGGAUAAUCCUGUAGUACCCCAAUUAAUUAGAAGAAAUAUGUUCCAGGGAAGCAUUUCAUUUCUGAAAUCCUGCAACACUCUCCCUAAGACAAUGAACAGGAUUUACUGUGGCUACCAAGUCGUCACUGACCCUGAAGAUUGGUUCCACUCACUCUUUGUGGUUCAAAAAAAGCACACCCAGCUUACCAUUUGGUUUUAGCUUCUUGCUCACAUAGUGUUUGAGGGGUUUUGUUGUUUCUUUUUGACAUACCAUGUGAUUUUAUUCUAAGGAGGUCAAGAACAGGCAAAAAUAUAGGGAAAAAUUUAAACAGUGGUUGCCUCAGAAAGUAGAGAUCAGGGGUUGAUUACCAAGGGGCAUAAGGGGACUUUUGUUUUAUAUCUUCAUUGGAGUAGCUGGUUACACAGGCAUACACUGUCAAAACAUUUAACUGUUUAUGUGACAUCUGUGUAUUACAUUAUAUGCAAAUUUUAUCUGAAAAUGUAAGCUAAAUAUGACUGUGCUCAGAAUUAAUGGAAAAGUGUAGACCUUCCUAAACUCCUUUCAACCCCUGGGGGUGAUGCUUUAAAGCCAGCGAGGUUUCUUUGUAUCCAGACAGAGAAUGUGAGUCCCAGCAUGUAACAAGGGAUGAAGUGGAGGCUAGGCUGGGGCUGAGUAUGAUGACAUGAGGCAGUGUCAAUCAUACUAAGAGGACAACCUGGGACAGGGAUGUGGGCUGCAGGAAGAUGCCCCUUAGGACCAAAACUGCAUCAGAAUUCCCUGGUGAUGAAACCAACAGAUGGAGUUAUUUCUUUUUAAGCUUAAAGAAAGGUCACCAAUAGCUUUUAACAGAUUACAAAUGACUUGACACAUGAUUUCAGAAGUGGGGAAAAUUCUAUGGAGGCAAGAACACUUCAAGAAUCGAUGAAAAAAGAUUUCAUAACAGCGCAGGCCAAAAUUAACAUUGCUAAAGUGGUUCUAUUUUAAUUAACUAGGUGCAGACCAUCUUAUAGUCCUCUGAAUCAAUUGUGACUGUUGUAUUAGACAAUUUUGAAAAUUCUUUGAUAUUUAAAUUUGAUAUUAUUGCUUAACAAUGAAAGGCCUUUUGUUACCUUAAGGUAAAACCUUCACUUUCA